AGGGGAGGAAGCCAAAGGAGGAGGCUAUGAGUGACUACCUCACCAAGGUUAAACAGCUGCUCGAGGCAGCUGCUACUGCUGCUUAUGCUACUUUGUCACGCCUUGCUCAAUGUAGUACCAUUGUUUCAUUCGAGUUAAGAUGCAUGCGGAUGUCAAGUUUUUAGGUCAGCAAAGCUAAGUGUGGGCAUGUUGAAUGAGCAUUACCUGCAGCCCAUAUAUUUAGUGAAGCUUUAUUGAUUCCCGUUUGUUGGUGAUGGUGUGUUCUUUGCGGAGCUUAGUGACGUCCUCACAAGAACCACUGAGCUGUGGACGGGUACUCCAGUGUUGAGGUCAGCAUCGGUGAUCAUUAUUAGAGCCGCCAGGACCCUGAACGUACUUGAUAUCGAUCUCCAAUCUAUGUUAAGCCUUGGUGGUACACCCGAUUUGGACUUCGUAUCAUAAUUGUGUAUGGUGAGAAGGGGAGAAGGAUAUUGGAGUUGACUUCUGUGGUCCAGUAAAGAUUCAACUUUUUGGAAAAUGGUGUGGAGCUCUACACCGAAGGUCAACAACAGAGGGCUUUGUGCAAUUGCUUGGGCUAUCUUUCUGGUACAAGCUUCUCGGAGGAGUGUCAUUCCUUCUUAACAUGGAGGAGAAGGGAGCAUAGGAGAGGAGAGCAAAGUGAGAGUGAAGCGCUUAUAUGUUGGGUGUCCUCGAUAUCGAAGUAAAGAUCAUGCUGGACUAGGAUCCUAAAAGAAAGCAGGGCACCAUGACUCCUUUGCCAGAUCAUGUUACAAUUCAUGCCCCAAAGGAGGAAGAGGAGUUACACUCCAGAAGAAUUUGAAUGCUACAACCUUUGCAAAAGGAAAUAUGAUUACAUUUCUUCUUCAUAAGCUUUCGGCAUGUAACAAGUCAAAAUUCUUUUGAUUUAUGCGCUUUAACUAGUCGUAGAUUAACAUGAAGGAAGAUUGGGAGUCCUUAGGCCCAUAUCUUAGUUUGUUCCAAUCUUCUCAGGAGUGUUAUUUGUUCUUAUCAUUUGUUUGGAAAACCGACGUGGUUAUUCCCACAAAUUUUUACUG